rnacentral:tRNA from 1 species
GUCCUUGUAGGGUAGUGGAUAGCGCGUUUGACUUCUGAUCCAAAGGUCCCGGGUUCGAAUCCCGGCAAGGAUG